GACGAACGCUGGCGGCGUGCUUAACACAUGCAAGUCGAACGAAGAGCGAUGGAAGCUUGCUUCUAUCAAUCUUAGUGGCGAACGGGUGAGUAACGCGUAAUCAACCUGCCCUUCAGAGGGGGACAACAGUUGGAAACGACUGCUAAUACCGCAUACGAUCUAAUCUCGGCAUCGAGGAUAGAUGAAAGGUGGCCUCUACAUGUAAGCUAUCACUGAAGGAGGGGAUUGCGUCUGAUUAGCUAGUUGGAGGGGUAACGGCCCACCAAGGCGAUGAUCAGUAGCCGGUCUGAGAGGAUGAACGGCCACAUUGGGACUGAGACACGGCCCAGACUCCUACGGGAGGCAGCAGUGGGGAAUCUUCCGCAAUGGACGAAAGUCUGACGGAGUAACGCCGCGUGAGUGAUGACGGCCUUCGGGUUGUAAAGCUCUGUUAAUCGGGACGAAAGGCCUUCUUGCGAAUAGUGAGAAGGAUUGACGGUACCGGAAUAGAAAGCCACGGCUAACUACGUG
rnacentral:rRNA from 1 species